UACGUAGGGUGCGAGCGUUGUCCGGAUUUAUUGGGCGUAAAGAGCUUGUAGGCGGUUUGUUGCGUCGGGAGUGAAAACUCAGGGCUUAACCCUGAGCCUGCUUCCGAUACGGGCAGACUUGAGGAAGGUAGGGGAGAACGGAAUUCCUGGUGGAGCGGUGGAAUGCGCAGAUAUCAGGAGGAACACCGGUGGCGAAGGCGGUUCUCUGGACCUUAUCUGACGCUGAGAAGCGAAAGCGUGGGGAGCAAACAGG
rnacentral:rRNA from 1 species